CCCGGCCUGCCGCUGGCUAGCACCGGGCUCACACUGCAGCAAGCUCUGCUCUGCCCCAGCCCCUUCACUGGCAGCAAAGUGCCCUCUCCUUCCGACUCUUUUUGCUUCUUAAGUUACUGGAUUCUGCAGUACAAGUCUUCAUGAACAAGCUGCACCGCUUAGAGAUUUCACGGCAUUCAAAGGUCACAGAACUGCCACUAUGG